rnacentral:lncRNA from 1 species
CCAGGCAGAGUCCCUCCCCUCUCAGGAAGGCCUUCUUGCCUCUUCAGACUACACCCCGUACAAGAUGAAGGUCAGCAAGUCCUGCGUGCCCAGAUGCUUUGAGACUGUGUAUGACGGCUACUCCAAGCACGCGUCCACCACCUCCUGCUGCCAGUACGACCUCUGUAAUGGUGCUGGCUUGGCUGCCCCAGGGACCCUGGCCCUGGCCCCCCUUCUCCUGGCCACCCUCUGGGCCCUGCUCUAAAGCCCUGGUUCCCCGGCAGACCUACUCGAGGACAGAGCUCUCAAGAGACAGCUGCACGCUCUCACAUGGUGUCCCCACCUGACAUUCUGCCUCCCAAGACCCCCUCAGCCACACCCGGACACAGAGCUGUCUGCAGAGGGACUCCUGGCCUCCCACCGCCCACAAGGCCUCACUCUGAGGCCACGGGCUUUCAUUUUUAAACAGCUGCUGUGUGGGACUGGGCCUCCCAAGGGUGCCUGGCCUUGGUGGGCAGGCUGGGCCCUGCCUGGGUCCAGGGACAGAGAUCUGGGAAAGUGCUGUUUAUGGGGAGGUCCAUCAGCGGAGAAGCACUGAUUUGAUGGGAGUAGCGCCAGCCCCACCCUGUGUGCAGCAGCUGGUGGGUGUGCUGGAGCGGGAGGGAGACAGGAACCCACUGUGGGGCAGGCAAACCCAGCAGGACCUCCCUGCAUCCUACUGAGGCCAGCUGCUGCCCGGGGCAUGUGAGGAGGAACUCUCAUUGUCAGCUGUCACAGGAACUGUGCCUGGCCUGGUGUCUGAGUGGCCCUCAGCAUAGGAGGGGUCGCCCUGCCUCGACAGACCCAAGGAGAGAUUUGUGCCCUCCUGAUCAGCCAGACCUCUAGCUUUCCCAUCCCCACCCCCACCCGGGUGCUGGACAAGCUUCAUCAGCCCAAGACUGGCAGGACUUGGAGUGGGCAGGCCAAGCUAUAUUUGGUCUAGCCUGCACUGACCAGGGCCAGGGCUAUUCUGGGCAGGCCAGGGCAGAUAGGCCACCAGGCCUGGUCCUCAGCCCAGUGGCCCUGGUAGAGAAAGAAAUGUGCCCACAAAUCAGGCAGCCUUGGGGAACAGGAGGACCCAAGGGACAGUGAAGUGUGACAACAGGAGUGGGAUCCGAGGCUGCCUCCUGGGUCCUGCAGGCCCCUCCGCCCUGCUGAUUGUUCUAGAUCUCAACAGAAGGGAAGGAGUACCCAGGGAGGCCCCCAGGGCUGCACCCUCUGCCUGAGGGCCCUUGACCCCAGGAGCUCCACCCAGCCCAGAGCUGGGAGGCUGGGUCUGCCCAACACCUGCCAUUCAAAUGUAGAGGGCCUGGGGAGCAUCUGUCCUUUCCAGUGAGACCAGAUGGGGCUGGAUCCUCUUCCCUGACCAGUGCCCCAGACCAGUGCUGGCUGACAAGACCCUGAAGCUGAUCCAGCCCAGGUGGGCAGGAUGGUGGCCAAUGUUCAUGUGUAGCAUUAUCCCUGGCUCCAAAGCACGGUCCUCAUGGGGGAGGCCUGCUGGACGCUGCAUCCUGAGACCUUUGCUUGUGACUACACCUCCAGGGGUGUUCAGGAGAUGAGGACUUCCAUCCUGGGGCUCCUCUCCCCAGCCUGAUGCUGGGGCUGGGGGGUGGAUUUUCCCACCUCCGUUAGCUUCUCUGGAGACAGGUAGCUGGAUGGGGAAGUGGAGUCCCACGGAGGGCUCACCAGUUCCUCAGGGAGGACAGUGUGGACCUCUUGCAGAGGUGACUCUGGUGGGAAGGGGCCCAGGGGUAAGAGCACAUUGACUUCCCAGAGAGAGAAAGGAGUAGCACACACAGGGGGCAGGCCUGGACACACACUGUGGGGCCAGUGCCAGGCCCAAGAGACCACCCUGGCUCCAACUGACAUCUCCUUCCCCCAAGGCCCUCUUUGCAGGCUGGCAGAAAGCCAGGUACUGACCUGAGCUCCCACUGGACCCCCACCAGCAGGCAGCCAGCCUCAAGACAGUAGUGACCAGUGCAGGUCUCAAAGUACUGGCUGGGGGCAAGGGACAGGUGUGGGCCCUGACUCCAUGGGAAUGGCCCAGGAAGCUGUCACUACCCCACUUGUGCAAGUCCAUUGUCCCCAGUCAGAUGGCAUCCUGUGACAGAGCUGUGUGGGGCCCCAGGCUGGUCCUUCCUUUGCUCUCUGUAGCUCCCCAGGGUGGCUGGAAUGCUGCAGGGGCAGCUGCUCAGACCUGCCUCCUACAUCUAUCUGUCCAUGUCUCCCCCCCCUGACCUGCCCCAGCCCAGUGACCACACUGCCCCCAACCCCAGUACUGUGCUGCCCGUGCCACCUCCACAGCCAGGGGUCCUGCCUGCCUGGCCUGUCCCUGGGACCUACUACAGAGCAUGUGGAAGGUGUCCUGCUGGGCCAAGGCUGGCCGAGGGAAGUGACGGCUUGCAUACUGGGGAAUUGGGACAGCAGUGCUGGGGGUUGGCCUGUCCUGAUCCUGCCCACUCCCACUGCAGCUGGCUCUGAGCACUCCAUGGCAGCCUGCAAGGCAGGAGCCACAGCCAUGCCCCAACAGGCGAGGAGACUGAGGCCCAGAGAGGGGAAGCCAUUAGUUGCCCCAAGGCCAGCUGGCCUCCCACAGGCCCGCAGCCCAGCCACCUUGCAGGUUCUUCCCCCACAGGCUGCUCCUCCAGGCCUGGGAGUGGGUGGAGUGCUUAGAACCUUCAGAGUCUUGCCAUGUUAUGUAAGAACCUAGGAGCAGGAAAGCUUGGAAGGGAAAAUUGGAACCAUAGGUUUGAGAAGCCACAGGCCAGUCGCAUCCAGUCCUGCAACCGGCUGUGAAGGGGAAGGCGGUGAACAGGCAGAGGAGGGCAGAGGGGCACUGGGCACCAAGGGCUGGCCCUCCUGCCUGCGUCUGGGCUCAGGUCUGCAGGCCAGGCAGUGGAUGUCCCUGCUCUGGGAGAAAUAAGAGCCCCUCCAAUGUGGGUGAGUGCUCAGGGCCAUUCGCUGCUGCUCUCUGUGGAGUCCCGGCCUCGAGACAAGCUUCGGUUGACACUGUGGUGCCAAGAGUGUUGUGUGUUCUCCGUGGCCCUGUCUAGCUGCCGCUCUGGCCACCGCCUGCAGGCCAGGCCUGCACCAGCAGCAAAAGGCACGCUCGGCAGCUGUGGGCCUGGGCUGGCCCUGUCACAGAGAGGCUGUGAGGUGGAACUGUGGCAGGCCAGGCCCUGCCGUGACAUCUGGACUCUCCCCGGGAACUGGAGGUGGGAAGGGAGGCGACUGGCAGCUGCACCUCCCAGCUUCCUCUCAGUGCCGGUCACAGGGCAUGUGUGUUCUCAACCCCAACUCUGAAGACACACAGAAAUAGAGGGUCCCCUUUCCUCGCCACUCCAUCCCUUCCCUAGCACACUUUGUGGGUCCCAGAACUCUGGGCUUCUCAGCAGAGCUCCAAACCUCAGCCCUCUCGUUGACAAGACGGCCAUGGGUGUAAGUUUCCAGCCUGGGGCCCGGACACCAGGGGCCCCAGAUGGGUGGUGCCCUUCCAUCCUAACUCCCUAGGGUCCAGGAGCUUCCUGGGGCCAUGUGCCUGCCAGCAGCUAACGUUAACCCUAAGUCCCAACUCGCACCUGGCCAGGAUGUGAAAUGCCACCCCUGUGCCACAGGUGCCCCUUUACUUAGCACACAUACCCAGCCCCCAGGAGAGGUCCUGUCAGUGUCCCCUGUGGAAUGCAUGAAUAAAUGGACAG